rnacentral:rRNA from 1 species
CGUAGGGGGCAAGCGUUGUCCGGAAUCAUUGGGCGUAAAGAGCGCGUAGGCGGUCCGGUAAGUCGGUUGUGAAAGUCGGGGGGCUCAACCCUCGGAGGCCGACCGAUACUGUCGGGCUAGAGUCCGGAAGAGGCGAGUGGAAUUCCUGGUGUAGCGGUGAAAUGCGCAGAUAUCAGGAGGAACACCAAUGGCGAAGGCAGCUCGCUGGGACGGUACUGACGCUGAGGCGCGAAAGCGUGGGGAGCAAACAGGAUUAGAUACCCUGGUAGUCCACGCCGUAAACGAUGGGCACUAGGUGUGGGAGGUGUCGACUCCUCCCGUGCCGUAGCUAACGCAUUAAGUGCCCCGCCUGGGGAGUACGGCCGCAAGGCUA